AGCCCACUAUUAUGAAAUAGUUAAGCCCAUACGGACAGGCGGGGCUGCUGCCGG
rnacentral:sRNA from 1 species